rnacentral:rRNA from 1 species
UAGCCUGCCCACUGAAUUAUUUUUAAAGGGCCGCGGUAUACUGACCGUGCGAAGGUAGCAUAAUCAUUAGUCUUUUAAUUGAAGGCUUGUAUGAAUGGUUGGACAAAAAGUAAUCUGUCUCAGUUAUAAUAGUUGAACUUAACUUUUAAGUGAAAAGGCUUAAAUACUUUAAGGGGACGAUAAGACCCUAUAAAACUUAACAAUAAUUUGAUUAAAUUAUAAAUUGUUAGUAUAACUUGAUUUUAAUUAAUGUUUGUUGCGUUGGGGCGACGGGAAUAUAAUUAGUAACUGUUCUUAAAUAUUUUAUUAACAAGUAUAAUUGAAGAAUAAUUGAUCCUUUAUUAAAGAUUAAAAGAUUAAGUUACUUUAGGGAUAACAGCGUAAUCUUCUUUGAGAGUCCUCAUCGACAAGAAGGUUUGCGACCUCGAUGUUGAAUUAAGGUAUCCUUAUAAUGCAGCAGUUAUAAAGGA